AGAUAUGCUUCUCCCAGAAAACGGGAGUCUCCGAUGAGAGCAGCCGGACGCUUCUUGCAUGGCGAAGAUUGUGCGUAACCUUCGUUUCAUGGCUGGCUCCUACGCAGUUAGAACCGCACCCUACAAAUCACUGUACGGAGGACACCCUUUUCUUAUGAAUAGC
rnacentral:ncRNA from 1 species